ensembl:lncRNA
GUGUGUGUGUGUGUGUGUGUGUGUGUGUGUCUGUGUGUGUGUGUGUGUGUGUCUGUGUGUGUGUGUGUGUGUGUGUGUGUGUGUGUGUGUGUGUGUCUGUGUGUGUGUGUGUGUGUGUGUGUGUGUGUGUGUGUGUGUGUGUGUGUGUGUGUGUGUGUGUGUGUGUGCAUCCUAGAGGGCAUAGCAGGGGAGAGAGAACGGAGGGGUGGGGGAUCACAGAUGAGGACAGACUAGAGGGAGGUUCUAAUAAAGGGGAAAAAGAGACAGACCGGAGACCAGCAGGGAGAGAAGGAUACAGGAGAAAAAAAAAGAGAUGAAAAACAGAGGAGACGCACAGGAAGCAGGGUGAAAGAAAUGCGCAAAGAGGGAUGGGAAGGGAGGGAGAGAGUGAGGGAGAGAGUGAGUGAGGGAGGGAGGGAGGGAGGGAGGGAGAGUUCGAGUAGAACAGCUGUACGGUCAAUAUCCUGCGCACAGUUGUGAAUCGGUGCAACAGAGCAAGUGCUCUUUCGCCUUGUUCCUCCUUUCCCUCUCCCUCCUCUCCUCUCCUCUCCUCUCUCGCUCGUUCGAUCGUACGCAGGCGGCCCCGUAGAAUGGAACUGUAGAGAAUGGAUUUCAACAGUCUUCAAAAGAGGCUCCUCUGUUAAUAGGCAUCCACUGAAUUUCUUCGCUCAAAUACAGCGGUUCGUGUUGUAUGACAGUCAGUGUCCUCUUCUUCCACGGUAUCUCUCUCUUCCUCCAUUCAUUCCCUCUUUUCAUCUCCUGUAGAACUGUUUCUGUAGGGGUCUCUUCAUAAUGACCACAUUCCCAUUUCAGUCAUGCAACCCUCCAAAAUGAAAUCUCAGCCCACAGACCUUCCUCUGUAGUGCCGGAAAGAAAAGACCCUCAUCUCUCACACUACUCCAUCUGAAAGAAAGUAAGGAAGGAGGAGAGAGGGGGGGGGGGGUGAUAGAUACAGAGAGUGAUUAGAAGCAGGGAUUAAAAUCACGACUGAUGUUCAAAUUUAAAUAGUAAAUGUGAUGCCAUGGUGAGGAUGAAUCCAAAACGGAGGAUGGAAGUUACAUGCCAAAGAUGUGUUUGAAGAGGAUGAAUACUUGCAGGCAUAGCAGUCCAAUGGAGAGGGGCUGAGGGAGGUAAGAAGGGACUUGUUUGUGCUCUGAAAUUCAAUGGGACAGAAGGGGGACAUAAAGGACGCCCACUGUGCCAGCCACAUAGCUAUUUGAAGACUCAGACUCCCUCACACCAGCGAACCCAGCCACAGAGGCACGAGAAUGCCGCCACAGACAUUACAUGCAAGCAUUUUUUUUUUAUUUUAGGAAACAGACCGCAUGAAAAAAAAAAAAGGAGGAAUCCUAUGCAUCUGGACUCAAUUGUCACAAAAAAAGAGGAGGAGGGUAAAAAAUGCUUCCAAAUGAUAGGUAUGGAACAUGCUUUCAUGCCCACAGAAGCACAACAAUAUAGUGGGCACAGCAAUGCUGUACAUGCAAGUACUGUACUAUACAUAAUUCUGGGUAAUGUGGUCAUACGAAGUCAAGUUACUUCAUAUAAACUUUAAUUUACCAUUAUUAUUACUUUGACAUAAUGGAACUCAUCUCUUCUAUUUAGACAAAGUCACAAAGUGAAAACAUAGGUUAACAUUAAUUGUAAAUGAACUUUCGCCCCGCACACAGUCCAACCACUUACUUACUUCGCCAAGGGCUGCUGCCUCAUAUUCAGUUUCUGAGCUCCUAGCACACCAUCCCUCCAUUUUGAAAAUGGGAACCAGGAGAGCUGAAACCAAUCUCUCUGUAAAAGCUCCUCUCCCGUUUGAUGCCCAUCUCCUCUCUUUCGUAUAGGCACCGCCGCCGCCGCCGCGCUGGCAUGAGCCAGCCAGGACUCGGGCAUAUAAGCUGGCAUGGGGUAGUUCCCACACUUGUGGCUGGAAUGUCAUGACAUUUGCCCACUCAGAUGCUUUCCAUCAAUUAUUCAUGACUUUGCUAAAAAUGAGGAUGGAAAACGAGGAGGAGAGUGACCUUCUCUCCCCGUGACUCCCCUGCUCUGCAGUCGCCACCAUGCCCUAAUGGACUAUUACCGCCCGCAAAAAUCAGUUAACAAUCAAAUGAUUGCAGAAAUGUUCACGUUGCCUGGAUACAAAAAGCACAAUUAAACAUGAUUAUCACCCUCUUCACCCAGACAGUGGAGUAUAUAAGUGUUUUCAUAAAACAACAACUGAACCUAGAUGCACAGCGCUAACUCGAAAGACAGGAAUGAGAGAGGGAGAGAUUGGAGAGAUGUAUAAGGCUAACAAAAGGGUUGAAUUAGUGCACCACUUAAAGCACAGUAGCUGGCACUGAAGGGAGAGGGGGGGGGUGGGGGGGGGGCGUGGGGGGUAGAGUGGCAGAGUGGGGUGCUGGGUUGGUCACUCAAUUCUCACAUCCUUCUGGCUGUAUUCAUGCUCUCUCUCUCGCGCGCCAUGUCCUUGUUGUGUGUGGUGCUUACUUUGUCUACUAUACCAACCACAGGCACAUAGCUUGCUUAAUUUAACAUGGUAAGUUUGGGUAAUAAAUACAAAACUUUUUGGACCUUUUUCUCAUUUGAGGUUUGAGGGACAACCCAUCUGGUUUGCCCCUGGAUAUAGAGGGAUGUGUCCAAUUACACUGUAGCGCUGACAGAUAGGGCAAGACAGAAUAGGUAUGUCCUGUAUACACUGUGAACAACCAAACGCAAGGCAACUGACAGACAGAGGGCAUAUGGUACAUUGCUUUUCAUCAUUUCUCCUGAAGGUCAACUCCAUUCUGAGCGAUAAGUUAUGAAUAGCUUCGUGUCAGUUACAGUCUCUCCAAUGUGCCAGUGAGUGAUUAAAAGUCCACCAGUGUGGCAUUGUUAACUGACAAGUAAUCUAACUUUGACUAUUUUUUCCCCUUUCAUGUCUGGAAG